GGAGGAUUGGAUGAGUGGUUUAAAUCAACGGUUUACUAAACCGUCGUACCUUAACCGGUACCGUGAGUUCGAAUCUCACAUCCUCCGCAA
rnacentral:tRNA from 3 species